GAGGGUAGAGCUCAGUGGCAGAGCACAUGCUCAGCAUGCAUGAGGUCCUGGGUUCAGUCCCCAGUGCCUCCA
rnacentral:tRNA from 1 species